CAUUGCCAAAGAUAUGUGAGAUCUGCCCAGCCAUCUGCUGUACCUGUGAGACUAUGAUGCUGCACCUCCUAUCCCUGUGGUGUGACUUCAGUGCUUUCCUUUUGCAGAGGAGGGAGAAAGGCCUUUGGAAGCCUCUGGUUCCAUCACACCUGAUACAGCUGAAGUUUUCCCACUGCCUGAAUUCUUUAAUUGGAAAAGACUCAAGACAA
rnacentral:lncRNA from 12 species